UACGUAGGGGGGCUAGCGUUGUCCGGAAUCAUUGGGCGUAAAGAGCGUGUAGGCGGCCCGGUAAGUCCGCUGUAAAAGUCAAAGGCUCAACCUUUGAAUGUCAGUGGAUACUGCCGGGCUAGAGUCCGGAAGGAGGCGAGUGGAACUCCUGGUGUAGCGGUGGAAUGCGCAGAUAUCAGGAAGAACACCAACGGCGAAGGCAGCUCGCUGGGACGGUACUGACGCUGAGACGCGAAAAGCGUGGGGGAGCGAACAGG
rnacentral:rRNA from 1 species